rnacentral:tRNA from 1 species
GGGCGGACCGGAUCGGCGGUUCAAUCCUCGCUUCUGGCGAAGAUCGACCAGAUCCGUUCCUGGGAACAGAGCCGUGCAACCCGGUUUUCGCCGGC